GAUGAAGAACGUAGCGAAAUGCGAUAAGUAGUGUGAAUUGCAGAAUUCAGUGAAUCAUCGAAUCUUUGAACGCACAUUGCGCCCCUUGGUAUUCCAUGGGGCAUGCCUGUUCGAGCGUCAUUUGUACCUUCAAGCUUUGCUUGGUGUUGGGUGUUUGUCCUGAGGGACUCGCCUUAAAGUAAUUGGCAGCCAGUGUUUUGGUUUUGAAGCGCAGCACAAGUCGCGAUUUAAGGCUAUACGCCAGCUUCCACAAGCCUUUUUCACUUUUGACCUCGGAUCAGGUAGGGAUACCCGCUGAACUUAAGCAUAUCAAUAAGCGGAGGA
rnacentral:misc_RNA from 1 species